UGGGGAGUCGUCUAGUGGUAGGACAGCAGAUUCUGACUCUGCCAGCCGGGGUUCGAAUCCCUGCUCCCCAG
rnacentral:tRNA from 1 species